rnacentral:ncRNA from 1 species
UAAAGGCAUGGUCCCGACCUUAUUAUCAGCUCUUACCCAACUUACACAUGCAAGUCUCCGCAGUCCCGUGAGUAUGCCCUUAAUCCCCCUCCCGGGGCUCGAGGAGCGGGCAUCAGGCACAAAUUUUUAGCCCAAGACGCCUGGCCAAGCCACACCCCCAAGGGAAUUCAGCAGUGAUAAAUAUUAAGCCAUGAGUGAAAACUUGACUCAGUUAGGGUUAAGAGGGCCGGUAAAACUCGUGCCAGCCACCGCGGUUAGACGAGAGGCCCUAGUUGAUGGAACCACGGCGUAAAGGGUGGUUAAGGAGAGCAAAAUCAUUUUUAAAGCCAAAUGGCCCUUUGGCCGUCAUACGCUUCUAGGUGUCCGAAGUCCCGUUACACGAAAGUAGCUUUAAUAAAACCCACCUGACCCCACGAAAGCUGAGGAACAAACUGGGAUUAGAUACCCCACUAUGCUCAGCCGUAAACCCAGACAUCCGACUACAAUUAGAUGUCCGCCCGGGUACUACGAGCAUUAGCUUGAAACCCAAAGGACCUGACGGUGCCUCAGACCCCCCUAGAGGAGCCUGUUCUAGAACCGAUAACCCCCGUUAAACCUCACCAUUUCUAGCCAUCCCAGCCUAUAUACCGCCGUCGUCAGCUUACCCUGUGAAGGCAAUAAAAGUAAGCAGAAUGGGCACAGCCCAGAACGUCAGGUCGAGGUGUAGCGCACGAAGUGGGAAGAAAUGGGCUACAUUUUCUAUCACAGAACACUACGGACACGCAACAUGAAAUAGUGCUUGAAGGAGGAUUUAGUAGUAAAGAGGAAGCAGAGUGUCCUCUUGAACCCGGCUCUGAGGCGCGUACACACCGCCCGUCACUCUCCCCUGUCGAAACGCAACAAGGAUAAUUAACACCAAAGCACUGACAAGGGGAGGCAAGUCGUAACAUGGUAAGUGUACCGGAAGGUGCACUUGGAUUAAACC